rnacentral:rRNA from 1 species
CAUAUUCUGUGAGCAGGAAAGCAGGGGAUCGCAAGACCUUGCGCUCUGGGAGCGGGCCGAAUGUCGGAUUAGCUAGUUGGUGGGGUAAAGGCCUACCAAGGCGACGAUCCGUAGCGGGUCUGAGAGGAUGAUCCGCCACACUGGGACUGAGACACGGCCCAGACUCCUACGGGAGGCAGCAGUGGGGAAUUUUUGGACAAUGGGCGAAAGCCUGAUCCAGCCAUGCCGCGUGAGUGAAGAAGGCCUUCGGGUUGUAAAGCUCUUUCGGUGGGGAAGAAAUUGCAUAGGCUAAUACCCUAUGUAGAUGACGGUACCUGGAGAAGAAGCACCGGCUAACUCUGUG